UUUACAGAAGCUACCGUUAACUUUUGGAUGCAAGGCAGCCAUCUUGGAUUCAGUGGAUGAGAUUGGCUUCAGCAAAUCAAACAUUGCAGUGGACAAGAACAAAUUUUGUCAUUUUUUUUUCAUGUCCUGUUUGAAAAUCUCUGUCGUUUAUAGUUAAAAAAUGUUGGAGAACCACUGGUUUAGAUUAUUUUACAUUUUUCACUUUAUUACCAGAGACUGGAGCCAAAUCAUUGUAGUUUUGAUCAUUUCAUUAAAUGUCUUGUGGAGAAUAUUUUGCAUCAUUUGUACUCCAUAGAGCGACAUUUCAUACCCAAUUUCACACUGAAAUAUGUAAUCCAGUCUUCUUUACGCUACUUGGAAAAGUUUUUCAUGUGACUCCAAUACAAAUCGAACAACAGAAGCUUAGAGAUGUUUUGAUCUGGAUUUUUAUUCUGAUUCAUAAAAUUCAACUGGUUUAAAUGGGAGAAACUGACAAUUUCAUUAAAUUAUGAGAUUUCACUAAUUUUGUGACAAUUUAUCUUUAUAAUUAAUGAAUAUGCUGAUACAGUUUAAGUGGAUGGAUAUUUAACUACAGAUGGGAAAUGGAGGAAGAGGAAGAUGAAAUGGGAAGGUAGAAAUACAAAAUGUGGUUACAAACUGGGAAAAAUGGGAAGAAACUGGGAUGAGAAUCGACAACAUGGACGAACAAAUUCAUCCCAAAUGUUUUCCUGAGGCAACGCUACUGCUUGAUUUAAUAAUUAAUGAUUAUAGCAGUGAUAAUUGUAGUUGAGAUUUUUUUUAAUCACAUUUUUCCUGGAUUUACCCGUACAUAGAGCAGGGGCGUCCAAAGAGCGGCCAUUCGUGGCCUUUGUGUUAUUUUUGUGUGGCCACAACUCAAGAAUGGCACGUUUGUCCCUCUGACACUUUUUGCAAUUUUU